rnacentral:pre_miRNA from 8 species
CUCCUCGGCUCCUGCAUUGUACACACUGUGCGGAAAACAUGGACAUGCACAGCGCAUACAAUGUGGAUGCUGUGGAG